ensembl:lncRNA
GGCAGCUGGCAGCAGGAAGUGGAGACCCGAGCUGCACUGUGGCCAAAGAUAAAAGAAGCUAGAGAUGCGGGGAAGCGUGCGUACUUCAGAGGAGGUGUUGGAUAUAUAAAUGGACAAAGAGUUACUUAGGAACACAUAAGUAGUUGCCAGAUGCUGUCCUGUCGGACAUUAUUCUUCAUGUGGUCCUGGAGGAGGGUGAUGCUGCAUUAUUAAAUCUGUCUUUGGUUUGUUCCAAAUUCAGAAGUCUGGUGUAUACAGACUCAAUUUGAAAGAGGGCACACUUCUGCUGACUUGACAGUGUAACAAAAUGGAGAACAAGUCUGAGCCAUGCCAAGAAUUCUUAAAAAUGUACACACUGCAGCCCUGCGAUGAGGUUUACAAGAACUGCUUACCAGGUCACCGUAGCCACCAGAUCCAGUCUGUAUGCAGAUCAGAGGGUCACUGCAGUCACCCGGAUCCAGUAUGUAUCCAGCCCAGAUGGUGGAUCAGCACCUAGAGAGGACCUCUACAGCCCUGAAAGACAGCGGAGACAAGGACAACUAGAGCCCCAGAGAAAGAUCCCCUGUAAAGACCUUGUCUUAGACGACCACCGGGACAAGACCACAGGAAACAGAUGAUUCUUCUGCACAAUCUGACUUUGCUGCAGCCUGGAAUUGAACUGCUGGUUUCGUCUGGUCAGAGGAGAACUGGCCCCCCGACUGAGCCUGGUUUCUCCCAAGGUUUUCUCUCCUUUCUGUCACCGAUGGAGUUUUGGUUCCUCUGGUUUGCUUAGUUGGGGAUACUUCAUUUACAGCGAUAUCAUUGACUUGAUUGCAAAUGAUUGCACAGAUACGAAUUAAACUGAACUGAGCUGGAUGAUGACAUCACUGAGUUCAAUGAUGAACUGCCUUUAACUAAAAAUUUUGUUUACUAUUGUCCUUCUGCAUUAUUGACACACACUAUGCUCCUAUUUAAUACUGUAAAGUUGCUUUGACACAAUCUGUAUUAUUAAAAGCACUACAUAAAUAAAGGAGACUUGACUUGACUAUGUUGGAAGAGGAAAGCGAGGAGAGAUGCACACCCAUCCAGGGUUUUGCAGUGAUUGGUGCAAGGUGCUGGAGGAGUAACUCUGUAGAACUCAUCAGUUCUGAUCUGAGAUUCUUGUAAAUACCUCAGGAUUGUUGUUAGUGAUUCUGAUUGAUAUUUCCGUCUGCUUGCUUAUUGGAUGUAUUUUAUACUGUUUACAUUGUAUAGUACUGACUUUGACAACAUACCAAGACUGUUACAAAUUUAACAGCUACGUUAUAUAUACAUAUAUAUAAUUAUUUCUUGAAAUACUACAAUUGUAAAAAAUAUAACAGCAAAAUAUGAUUGUAAAUAAAGGUAAUUGAUGAGA